AUUAGGGAACGGAGGCGCUUCUUAUCCUAAAAGCAUCGGACGGGCGACCUGGAGUAGAUGAGAUCGAGCGUCUCGCAAGCUUGCGCGCCCGGUUCUUCCAAAAAGUGCGUAAGCACUUUCAAGCACUUAGGAUUUUUUAGAAUCAUUAAGAACAGAGGGAUUUACCUAUUCUCCCCCAACGAGCGACGAUCACCUCAUAGCUGCAGCUGCAACUCUCUUUUUUUUCAGAGGAUUUUUUUUCAUUUCUCCCUUCCUUUUUUAUUAUUAUUUCUCCCUUGCUUGAACUCAAGCGAGACGGGCAGGCAAGGAAGGCUAUUUUUUUAAAAAUAAUACGAUUUUUUUAAUCAUUUUCAAAAAUAAUACGCGUUUUUCAAAAAUUUCAAAAAUAAUACGGCCUCGGCCUCGCCCAGGCCUAGUCGGCCUAG
rnacentral:lncRNA from 1 species